rnacentral:rRNA from 1 species
CCCUUAGAUGUCCUGGGCCGCACGCGCGCUACACUGACAUGUUCAACAAGCCUCCUAGUCCGACAGGAUUUGGGAAAUCUUUGAACGCAUGUCGUGAUAGGGAUAGAUCAUUGCAAUUAUUGAUCUUGAACGAGGAAUUCCUAGUAAACGCGAGUCAUCAGCUCGCAUUGAUUACGUCCCUGCCCUUUGUACACACCGCCCGUCGCACCUACCGAUUGAAUGUUUCGGUGAAGAUUCCGGAUAGGACUUUUUUGAUUUAUUUCAAUUUUGUCUUAAAAGCUAUCUAAACCUCAACAUUUAGAGGAAGGUGAAGUCGUAACA